AGAAUAUCAAGUCCAGCCAAGUUGCCAACUGUAAACUAACAUUUUACCUACUCUGACCUCUGGCCAUCGAACAGUCUCCUUUUAUCUUAAAAAGAUCGUCAACAGUCUCAUCUUCUUCUUCUUCUACCUUUUCCACAACUUUGGGCUCUCAGAUCCGUCAGCAGAUUCUGUCCUCUGCACUCUCAGAUUCGACCUUUUUCAAAAUGAAGAUUCUGUCCUUCCUUAGCAGAGCUUCAAGAGCAUACAAAGACUACCCUGCUUACUCUAAGCUUCUGGUCAUCUGCACUCUCAGUAGUGGAGGUCUUUUGGCUUACUCAGAAUCAGGACCUGACACUGGCACUGCUGGUGUUGAAACGGAUAAAAAGCUGCCCAAGAAAACGAGGGUGUUGGUACUUGGAACGGGAUGGGCUGGUACUAGUUUCCUUAAGGACGUGGACGCUACGUUAUACGAUGUUCAGGUUGUUUCACCCCGGAACUAUUUUGCAUUUACUCCUUUGUUACCCAGUGUCACAUGUGGCACCGUUGAAGCACGAAGCAUUGUGGAGCCAAUUCGAAAAAUGGUGAAGAAGAGAAGAGGGGAAAUUCAAUUCUGGGAGGCGGAAUGUGUUAAGAUUGAUGCUUUAAACAAAAAGGUUCUAUGUCAAUCAAAUAUUGACAACGACUUGUUGCAAAAGGGAGAAUUCUCUCUGGAGUAUGACUACUUGAUCAUCGCAUUAGGAGCACAAGUAAAUACUUUUAACACUCCUGGUGUUGCGGAGAACUGCCACUUUCUGAAGGAAGUAGAGGAUGCUCAGAAGAUCCGUAGGAGUGUGAUAGAUUGCUUUGAAACGGCUGUACUUCCUAGUCUCAGUGAAGAUGAGAGAAGAAGAAAUCUUCAUUUUGUAAUUGUUGGAGGGGGUCCAACAGGUAUAGAAUUUGCUGCAGAGUUGCACGACUUUUUUGAAGGAGAUUUGGUCAAAUUAUAUCCGACAGUUAAAGAUCUAGUGAAAAUAACAGUGAUUCAAUCAGGAGAUCACAUCUUGAACAUGUUUGAUGGAAGGAUUAGUACAUUUGCUGAGCAGAAAUUUAAAAGAGAUGGCAUUGAAGUUCAAACAGGAUGCCGCGUUGUCAGUGUCUCUGACAAGGAGAUUAAAAUGAAGGUGAAGUCAAAGGAAGAAGUUUCCUCCAUGCCCCAUGGAUUGGUUGUAUGGUCAACUGGAGUGGGGACACGUCCAGUUGUAAGGGACCUUAUGGAGCAAAUUGGGCAGGCUAAUAGACAUGUUCUAGCAACUGAUGAAUGGCUCCGAGUAAAGGGAUGUGAAGAUGCCUAUGCCAUUGGUGACUGUGCUACAAUAGAUCAGCGUAAAAUCAGGGACGAUAUCUCAAGCAUAUUUAAAGCAGCAGACAAGAACAACUCUGGUACCUUAAGUGUUCAAGAGUUCCGAGAUGUAAUAGAUGACAUCCGCGUAAGAUAUCCUCAAGUGGAUCUCUAUCUACAAAGCAAGCAUCUGAGUGAUGUGACAUAUCUGUUGAAAGAUGAUCAGGGGAAUGAUAGGCAAGAAGUGGAUAUUGAAGGAUUUAAGUUAUCCCUUUCUCAUGCAGAUUCGCAGAUGAAGAGCUUACCUGCCACCGCACAGGUUGCUGCUCAACAGGGUGCAUAUCUUUCAAGGUGCUUUAACCUCUGGCAGCAGUGUGAAGAGAAUCCAGAAGGUCCUCUACGUUUUAGUGGUUCUGGGCAUCAUCAGUUUCUUCCUUUUAGGUACAAGCAUUUUGGGCAAUUUGCUCCUUUAGGAGGAGAGCAGGCAGCUGCAGAGCUACCUGGAGACUGGGUUUCAGUAGGUCAUAGUACUCAGUGGCUCUGGUAUUCUGUAUAUGCAAGCAAGCAAGUGAGCUGGCGGACAAGGUUUCUGGUUGUAUCUGAUUGGACAAGAAGAUUCAUUUUUGGAAGAGAUUCAAGCCGAAUUUGAGGCAACAUUUGGGAGGCCUAUAAAUAUUGAAUAAUAUCUGAUUGUACCACUUGCAGAUGCAGUCUAUUUAUGCACCUAACACAUCUCCAAAGACCAGCCCUUGAUUACUUCUCUAAUAUCAAGUUGUGCACGUCAAUGCCAAGUCAUCCGUUCUCACAAAAGGGAAGUAUUUUCUUAACGGGCCAACAGAGAAAACUGUCACCACCACUAAAAGCCAGGAUUUUAAUUCUUUUGAUGCUUUUAAUGACACCAUCAGAAAUUUGUAAAAUAUAAAA